rnacentral:lncRNA from 10 species
GCGCCUUCUCGGCCUCAGAGUCCAAUGGCUCUGGACGCGCUUGAGGAGCCCUUCAACCCGCUGCUGCGCUGUGGGGGCCCCUCUCUGGGGCUGGCCGAGGCAGGAGCCGGCUCCCUCUGCUCACGGGGAGGUGUGGAGGGAGAGGAACGUCUGGGAGCCAGGGCCGCAAGCGGCACUCAGGGGCCUGCGCGGGUUCGGGUGGGCCGGGCUCAGAAGGCCCCGCGCUCAGCGCAGCCAGCCGGUGCCUGCUGGGCUUGAUCAGGAGAUGAGUUCCCUCUGGGCUGCCAGAGUGCCUGGGCUAGGUGCUGCAAAGUCCUAUAGCGACUGCCAUUGAGAAGUGAAGCCGGCUAGGCUUCUGGGUCAGGUGAGGACCUGAAGAACGUUUCUGUCUAGCUGAAGGUUUGUAAACGCACCAAUCAGUGCUUUGUCAAAACGGACCCAUCAGCUCUCUGUAAAACGGACCAAUCAGCUCUCUGUAAAAUGGACCAAUCAGCUCUCUAUAAAAUGGACCAAGCAGUAGGAUGUGGGUGGGGCCAGAUAAGGGAACGAAAGCAGGCCUCCCAAGCCAGGAGCGGCAAACUGCUGGGAUCCAUUUCCAUGCUGUGGACUCUUUGUGCUUUGCUCUUUGCAGUAAAUCUUGCUGCUGCUCACUUUUUGGGUCUGCACCACCUUUAUGAGCUGUAACACUCACCGCGAAGGUCUGCAGCUUUACACCUGAAGCCAGGGAGACCACGAACUCAUCAGGAGGAACGAACAACUCCAGACGCGCGGCCUUUAAGAGCUGUAACACUCAACGCGAAGGUCUGCAGCUUCACUCUUGAAGUCAGCGAAACCGCAAACCCACCAGAAGGAAGAAACUCCGGACACAUCUGAACACCUGAAGGAACAAACCCCGGACACACCAUCUCUAAGAACUGUAACACUCACCGCCAGGGUCCGCGGCUUCAUUCUUGAAUCAGUGAGACCAAGAACCCACCAAUUCCAGACACAGAAGGUUGGUAUUCAGAGAGCUUGUGUAACCUAUCCAAGGUCAUACAGCUAAACAGGUGGCAGUGCUAGCAUUUGAACCCAAAUAGUGUGCCUCCAACAGCUCUAGUAUAUAAAGCAUGUCUUGUAAGUAAAUAUCCUAUUUUUUGCUUUGACUUUCAUGAUUGUUUUAUCAAUGUUUAUUUAGAGAUUUGAUGAUCCUCAGGUGUCAGUUAUUCCUCUGCCACUUGAACUCCCUUCCCCCUUGGUUCUCGCUACCUGCAUUUCCAGUCUGCCUGUCAAAUAGUUAAUGAUCUGCAUACAAACACUUUCAUGAACUAGUGGAACUCAGCCUUUAAAAGAAUCCUAGGGGAAUUCUUUAAAGACUCUUUUACAGUAUGAAUAAUCAUCCCUUAGUUUAUUCAUCUGUAAAUUUUUGGUUUCACAUAGUACAUUUUCUUCAGGCAGGGCCAACCACAUUGCUUUUUAAACUCUUAGAUAGAUCAGCUUUGCUUUGUCAUUUUGUGAUCCAAGAAAGCCAAUUAUUUUAAUGUCCACAUCAACUAUUCUCCUUUUAGAAUUUAUGAAAGUGAAAAAUAUGUAGCCCAAAAACUCUUUGUUAGAGAAUAUUUCUCAUGAAAUGGGAAUUUUAGCCCUUCUUCUUACUUAGAGUACUUAUUUGUUCAGUCGCAAGACAAUGAAAAUAAAAUUUAAGUCUCCAAAAUAUUAUUUCUAUCCAUUUAAUUUUAUCAGGCCAGACCAACUUUUCUCAGCAGAUCAAAUUAAAUUUUUAUAUCGACUUUUCACUUUUAUGUUGAGAAAAUUUGUUAUUCUAUAUCCAUAGACUUUUGAGCAAAUAUCACCUAACUCUGAUUGCUGUAAUCUCCUCUGGCUGGUCUACCAGCUCUAAGAGACCUGCUUUCUAGCAGGUUCAGUUUUUUGAGAUCAGGACAAAAGCCAGACUAAAGCACACUUUUAAGUACUUUGAGCAAAAAUUAAAGACGCCCCAUAAGGACAGACAUUCCAUAGUUUCCACCAAGUCAAUCAAUGAUACAAAUGUAACUUCAUAUUGAAAGCAUGUAAUGGUUUUUGUCUCAGUUACUGAACCCCAACAUUUUGGUUUGGAGUACUCUCUUCAGAAGUGUUCAAGGUUCAAAUUGAGGUCUUCUGUUGUCAUGGAAUAACUUUCUCAACAAUGAGAAAGAGUGUGUUUUAUCCUGCAGCACGUCAGCUUCAAAGGGCUCUUACUUCAAGUGUCCAGCGCAUCAUUCUGGUAAAUUAAGAAAUCCUCGGCUUAAGAUCGUCUCUUUCAAUCACAUAUAAUGUGGGUAACUUCAUGACUAAACAUUAUAAACCAAGCCGUUUGUUUGCUUUGCUUUUUUUCUCACCAUAGUCUCUAUUUUGUGUUUAGUAAGAUGUAUAACAAGAAGAUGCUCUGCAGAUACAACUCAUGUUUUUUUUUUUUUAACCUUAGUGUUUGUGGAAUUUAAUUACAAAAACUGAAAGGAGAGAAAACAAGAUGGCAUUGUUGCUAACCUGUGAGAAGUGAUGGGGGCCUGCCAGCUGAAUGCUAGCCCCUGGUGGGCUCAUGGUAACAACAGAGAGGGGAGCCUUCUCUGGGAAGAGCUACCUCCUACUCCAGCCCAGCCGACCAGGCUGGGAUCCACAGAUCCACACUCCAGCAUGCUGAGCGGAGAAAGACUUAUUGUUGAGAAUGUCAGUCAACUGACAUUUUGCCUCCUACUCUCUCUAUCUGAGAGGGGAAUCUGCAUUUUCUAAGCCAGUUGGCAGCAUGCACCACAAACAGCAAUGCACUGCAGGCCCCUGGUAUAGACUGUCACCCUGUGAUAAGUGUGCCAGCUCAGUGGUGCAAAGGUUUUCAGAUACCCUCCCUUGGGCUAUCAUUCCAGUAGGCAGCUCCUCCUCCUCCUCCCCUCUCCCUCACAUACACUGAGCAUCAGGCUCUCCAAGCUCAGUUCUCAACAUAGUUACAAUAACCCAUCCUAGUCAGUGAUGCUUAAAAUUGAACCAUGGUUCAGGGGAGCAGUAGGCUCUCCCUGCAAGCACCCUAAUGUGUUAAACAGCCAUGCCAGGUAGCUGUCUCCUUUCUUGGAAUCAGCUACUUACAGAGACCCUCUGUCAAUGGAAGUUUUUAUGCAAGUCCUCUAACCCAGCAUUUGAAGGAUAAACAAACUUGCACUUACACAAUUUUCUUUAAGAGCAGUUCCCUCUAAAUGUUGGUUCUCACUGCCUGCUUCAACUGCGGGCCUAGAAAUGGAAAAGGAGUCCAGGUUUGGAGCCCCUCUGGUGACUGAGUGUGUACCUCCAACAUGACUACGUUUGUACAGCUGAGACUCAACAUGUAAGGCUCUUUAGGUGGUUGGAAUUAUUUCAUUUGGCACCAUGAUUGCCUCAAAUAAUACAUACUUUGAGAGAGAGAAACGCUGCAGAAGUAAACUCGAACCAAUAGGGACAUUUAUUCUUCAGGUUUAAAAUUAAUUUCCUGUACUUCUCUGGCUUAAGAAAAAAAUUGUAUUGGAACUGCAACCUUAUGAGAAGAAAAAUUCGAAACUAUUUCUUUUACACUGAGCCCAGUAUCAGAUGAAAUGGAAAUGUGAGGGCUUCCUUAGCGUUAACCCGCUGGAACUUUCCAGCUGAGAACUGAGAUCUGCAGACUGCUUUAGGUUAAGACCCUGCUCCACUCCAUGUUAGGUAAUCAGAUGUCAUUUAGGCAGAAUAAAUGGGAAGUACUCAAGGAAUCAGAAGAGGUGAAAGAGCAGAGUCUGGUUUGGAUAAAAGUUUAAUUCUUCAGUUCCAAGAGGCAUAGCCCUUCGAAGAUGCUGAGCAAAGUCAGACAGGAGUGGCCGAGUAAUGAAGAUGGAUGCAUCUUGUUAUCAGCAAGCCGUUUACUAGGGCUUGAUGUAACCUUAAACAUUGCAGAUAGCUCAAUGGCACUUGCCACUAAACCCCUAAUUAAUGAAGAGCAGGCCCUAAAUUAACAAUGUGCAUUUACAGAUGAAUUCUAGGCACUCAUUAAAUGAUGUUCAAAUACCAAGCAGCAACUGUUGGCUUAUUCCUGCUGGAUUACUCUAUCCACUGUGUGUGAGGGAGGACUUUCCACUAGGGCUUUCCUGUCUUGCAGGGCGGGGGACUAGCUGUGGAGCAGAAAGGGACACCGUUCUCAGGGGAUAGGUUAUGGCGUAAAGAGAUGUGAACUCAGUUUUGACAUGUGACACCUGUGCCACCAUUUAAAGGCGAUCAGAAACAAUCCCAGAUUUAGCUGAUGCUGCCAAUAAAGAUAAAAACCAAAAAGUUUGAAUCCCAACCAACUCUGUCAAGGAUGGAAUAAGACGUUUCAAAGUGCAGCCCCACGCUGCGCUUUCGUGGGUGGGCUGGAAUGCACCCUGGGGAUGGAAGGUUUAGACAACGUGUAGAUUUGUUUGGCAAAAGCUUAAUUCAUAAACAAUUACGGGCUGUGGUGAGGUAGCUGGAUCUGGCUGCAGCAGGCUGCCGUCAUUCUGACUGCCCCCUCCACUGAGGCCUGAAGGCCAAAGCCAACCAAAAAUGUGUUCUGCAGCAAACAGUAGUCAAGCUAAUUAUCUAGCACGCUCUGUUGGGGGUUUUCCUCUUGAUUUCGAGGAAUAAAAUGAGGAGCUGCGGGCUUGUAAUAUAACAAGGAUGUAGCCCCUGUGUGGGAAGGUGUAUAUAUGGCUAUUAAAUAAUAUUAGUACCUUCAACUCUCAAAGAAGUAAAAUAAAGACAGAAGCCAAGUAUGAGUAAGACAUUGGAAAGUAAAUUAAGUGGAAAAGAAAAUGUUUUAAACUUCUGCAGGAGGCUGUCGUAAAAGAAGUUCUUGCAAAGCUAUGGUGAGGAAUAGAAAUGGAUUUCAAGGAAGAGAAUGUUCAGAAACAUCUCCCUUUGGGUCAUUUCUGUGCUGGCUGAAAUCCCGGGGCAGGCCCCUUCUGUUGUGAGGGGAAAGUAUCUGAGGUUUUUGAGCGGUCACCCUCUAAAAGCACCCAUGCUAAAGAAAGCACAGCCGCCUCCCCACCAAGGGCACAGGGCAGAGGCUGUGUAACAGCCCAGGAAAAUUCCCCACACACAGUGCCAAGAUCCAUGUAUGGUCAAAAGCAAAGGCAUUCUCUUGUUUGUAUGGAUCAUUUCCACAUCAGGUUUUCCAAAUGGGUUUGUGUACAUUCAGGGACAGGGUACUCCCAUGGCCCCAUGGAGGCAGUAUAAAGGCAAACUGGUCUGCUAAAGAAGAAAAAAUAACUCUUAAUUUAAAAUGCCAAAGGGACUUGUGUUGGGGAGGGGCUAGGGAAGGCAGGGUGCUGUAUUGUUGAUGUCUGCCACCUAAAUAUUCCUGAGGAAUUAACUGGUAGGAAUUGAACAGAGUGCGGGAAAAACAGGUGUUUCCCUUUUCCCAAGGGCAUUUCUCAUUUAUUAUAUAUCUAGUCAAAAUUUUCUUUUUGAGCAAAUUUUAUCACAUACAGAUAGAGGCUAUGAGAAAAAAGCACCCUAAGCAAUCAUUUUAAGAGCUGCCCUCAUUCCACAUUGUGUGACUGAAUACAAAUCCUUUAUUCUUCCCAGUUUGAUGAUGAGAUGGGGAUUUAACCUCUGCUUGCCAUCAUUAUCAGUUCACUGAGUUUCUGAGUAUAAGCCACAAAGCUCUUGGAAAUGUAAGUUCCUGGAUGUUUGCCCUCACCCCACUCCCCCCCACAUCCAAAGCAAUCCAAAUACAGAGCUUACUGGGAGGGGGAGAUCAAUAGGAAGCAGCUUCUUAUUACAGCAUUCCCCUAGAUUGCUCAGAACUCCGUCCAUGGGGUCUCUAGUCCCAGUGGUCAUACAAUUAGGGAAAAAGUGGACUUCAGACAAUGAAAGAGAAUGAGCAAAGAAUAGACGCAAAUCACAGCAUCUUUUUCUGCCUCCACUAUAAGCUGCAUAACCCAGCUCAUCAUAGCAUAUGUAUAGGCCACAUUUCCUCAGGUUUCAAAAGCCUGACGGUUCAAUCAGAAAUGUAUGUCACAAUAAAGCAACAAAAGAGGUGCCCCUUACGUAACCCUCACUGGAAAAAUCUCGAGACUCCCUAGCCCAUAUCUCUCUGAUUCAAGGGGUCCCUGGUGUGUCUCACAUGUGUCCCAAAUCACUGCAAGUGUCCUCUGCUCCCACCUCAUAGCAUUUUCUCAACUUUCUCUGACCUUGGCCUAGAGAAGCUUUCCUGGACCUACAUAAAAGGAAUCCAUUGUUCCUCAGUCUAACGUAUUAGCUAGGAAGUUAAAGCCUAGCCAUUUGUUCUUGGGAGGGUCUUCUCCUCGGGAAGCAAGUCAUCAGCCCCAACCUGACAGCUGUGAAUUCUCCCUGCUAUCCAAAAGAGUUUUACCAGAUCAUUAUACCAGCCCAGAUAGACAGGUCCAUGUAUGCCCAGAUUGUCUGACUAUACAGUAGAGAUCCUACUCUGAGAUCCUCAAAUACACAUGAUUCAGGGAAAUAAUUUUACCAAAAGUGUCACUACCACAUAGAGGAUCAUGUAUUGAGCAGAUGUUAGUCUUAUCCUGUAGUACCAGUGCUUUCAUCAGACCAUCUUUUGUAUUAGGGUGAUCCUAUCUGCUCUAACAAAAUGCCUUAAUGGAUAAAAUACAACAAAAAUUUACUUCUCACUCAAAAACACCAAAGUAGAUGUUCUUCCAAGUAUCAUCCAGGCUCCCAGACUCCUUCCAUCUUGUACCUUCACUAUGUUCAAACACAUGGCUCCCAAAAUCAAUGUGCUCUUUUGCAUCAAACUGAGAAAUGAAGAAAGAGAAGCACACUUAUUUCUUAACCUCUUUGACUCAGCAUCAACACAGUGCUUACAAUACAUUGGUGAAAACCAAUUAGAUGAUCCCUUAGAUAUAAGAGAGAUGAAGCUGAAGAUACAGUCUCUGCUGAAAAAUAACUUCCUUUCAACAACUCUAUACUCUAGAAGAGGAAGCACAAAUGUUGAGGAGAGCCAGGCUUCUACGUCAGUACACUAGGCUGAUACAUAUCUUAACAAAAGUACUAUAAUGACAACUAUAUACUGUCUACAAGUGACAUAUUUAGAUUCAAAGAUGAAGAUAGAUUGAAAGUAAAACCAUAGAAAAAAUACAAUAUGCAAAUAGUAAACGGGAGAGAGUUGGAGUGGCUUAUACCAAUAUCAGUCAAAAUUGACUUUAAGUUAGAAGUGGUUACUAUAGACAAAGGACAUUUUAGAAUAAUGAAAGUGUCAAUCUAUCAAGAGGAUAUAAUACAAACAUAUAUGUACCUAACAACCAAAAGAUGAAAUCCAUAAAUCAAAAGGUACUUCAUUCCUUUUUAUGGCUAAAUAAUAUUCCUAGAAUAGGUAUAACAUAUUUUGUUUAUUAUAUAAUAAAUGAAACUUGAAAACAUUAGGCCAAAUUAAAGAAGCAGACCAAAAAAAAACCCCACAUAUUCUAUGAUUCCAUUUAUAUUAACUAUCCAGAAUAGGCAAAUCAUAGAGAUAGAAAGUAGAUACGUGGUUGCAAGGGUUAGGAAGAAGGAGAAAUGGAGAAUGAUUGCUAAGGGGUUGAGAGCUUCCUUUGGGGGAAUUAAAAUAUUCUGGAGCUAGAUAGUGAUGAUAGAUACACAGCCUUGUGAAUAUACUAAAAAUUAGUUGACUGUACAUUUUAAAGGAAUGAAUUUAGUGAUAUGUAAAUUGUGUUUUUUAAUAAAAUAUUGCUUAUCCAUAUUUCAUACACACACACACACACACACACACACACGUGGGUUAGAAGUGAGUGAAGAUUUGGAUGCAAGUAUGUCUAACCUUCAGACUUUUUUUACCAUGUGGUUCUUUUUUGCCUAGAAUUUUGACGUUUUUUUAAAAAGCACUGAAAUAGUUCCAAGAUGUUUGCAAUUUAUUAGCCAUUGUCCUAGAAGAUCUUUAUUUUGAUUUUGGUAAUGUAUUUGGAUUUUUUUUUAACUGCUGUGUAACAAAUUACUACAAACUUUGAGACCAGAAAAAACACAACUUUAUUAUCUCACAGUUCCCAUGGGUCAGGAGUCCAGGCACUGGCUAUUCGGGUUCUCUGCUCAGUGUCUCACAGGCUGAAAUCAAGACGUCAUCUGUUCUCAUCUGGGUCUCAGAGUCUUUUUCCAAGUUCACUGAUUCUGUAAAAUUCUAUUUCUUGAGGUUGUAGGACUGAAGACUUCAGCUCCCAGAGGCCACCUGCCCUUCCUAACUGUGUGACUCUAUCCACAACAUAGUAGUUUGUUUAUUCACAGCUAACAGGCCAACAUCUCUGUUGCUUCUUCUGACUCUGACUUGUAGAUCCUCUUUUAAAUGGCCCAUUUAGCUAGGUCAGACCCACUCACAAUAAUUUUCCUUUUGAUUAAAUUGAAGUCAACUGAUUGGAGGCUUUAGUUGAGUCUGCAAAAUUCACUGAUCUUUUGUUAUUCAUGUAAACCAAUCAAGAGAUUAUAUCACCAUCAUAUUCACAGAUCUAAAGGGGAGAGGAAUAUACAGGACAUGGGUCAUUGAGGGUCAUUACAAAAUUCUGCCUACUAGAGGUAGGUUGUUCUAUGUAUGCCAACCAAAUACGGGCCUUGGUAAGCUAAGAGCCUGAUCACUGUUGGGACACCAUUUGGGGAGACCUGGUCAAGCCAUACAUUAAAGCUAAACUCUGCUUAAGCACCAAACCUGAUAGUAGUUUCCAAACCUGGUUACCCAUUGCAACCUCCUACACACACCCACCCACACACACACACACACAAAAGCACAUGCACAUGUACAUGGACGCACAUACGCACACAUCCAUGUUUUUGAGAAGUUCCAGAUGUGCAGCAAGGUUGAAAACUGUUACCCUAAGACUUGGAGAACUACAAUUAGUUGAGAAGAACAAAAAUAAUACUGUGAGUAAACUUCAUGCUGGCUUCCAAAUAAUUGAAUUUACACAUGUAUAUAACUAGUUACCAAGUUUAAUUUAACCAUCAAUUCCUCUUCACUUUUUAUUCAUGGGGGAAAAACUGUAGCAUAGAAAAAGAAACCUGUGGCUUAAAUGUCAAGACACUUGAAUUCAAAUCUCCACUUUACUUGUAACUCAUUUGUAAUCUCUGCAGACUCUUUUAAGAUCUCGGUUUUAGUUUUCUUGUCUAUAAAGUGGGGCUAGCAGUACCUCACCCUAUCCCCGACUCUCAGGAUGAUGGUAAGGAUAAAAAGGACUGACAAACUUCUAAACGCAUAUUGCUGGGGAAAACCUGUCUUUGUUCAGCAGUCUUCCUGAUUUUGGACUGCAGUGAUUUCUUGCAUCUGUCCUGAGAGCAUCCGAGGAGAACUAGUCCUCCUGCCCCCGCAUUUUGGGAAAGGAGAAAGAACUUCCCAAAAGAGGACUGCAAAGAAACCUGCCCUCUUUCUUUCUGGCUGCCUUCCAUUUUCACUGUUCAGCCUUCCUUUGGUAGGAUCUGCUUGACAGGAAAAAGCCAUACAUCUGUGCACAUUAAAGGUUGUCCGUAGGUGGAGGGGAAAAAAAUGUUCACUAGAAAUGUUUAAUAUCUUAUAACACUCCUCCCCACAUUGCAUUACACAUAAAUUGGGCAUGCAUGGCCAAUUACAGCACAAAAUGCCUCUCCAGCACCCACCACACCAUACUUCCCUUUGCACCCACUUGGUUAGCCAUGAUUAGUAACCUCUCAGAGCCAGCUCACUGCCACUGGCUUACCUAGUCUCUUACACUCAAUAGUUUAGUCUCCCAAUGGCGAGGAGAGGUUAGGAAAGUCAGGGCAUGUGGUCUGACAUGAAAUGGAAAGGGAAAUACAGAAUUCUGCAUUUUUUUUAAAAGUACCAUUCACAUUUGAGCAUUUAUAUUCUCAAAUUUGCAAACAAUAAUGCCUGUUUUAUCUAAGAUAAGUAAUUGUUCAGGGAAUGCAGUCAGAUAAUAGAUGUCAAAUGCAGUUUGUGAUCUGUUAGGCAUUAUAUAAUUAUAUGGUUUAAGGGCAAGAGCUCAAAGUAGGGGGUCAAACAAAAUUAGGAGGGAGUAAUUCUCAUUCUUUCAAAUCUUUUCCCAUGUGCUAUAUUGUCCUUUUAUCACUAAUUGUGCAUGCAUAAAUCACUUUAUUGGAUGAUGAGCUUUUUCAGAGAAGGGAUUGUCUUGUUGGUUCAGAAUUUUGGCUUUUAACAGAGUAGUAGCCAUGAUCCGAAGAAUGAGCAUAGAUGCUUAUUUGUCUGUGAUGGGUAGCCCAGAGCCAUGACAUAUCAUAGGAAUGGAAGCCCCAGUGGGGCAGGGAACUUUGCCUGUUUGGUUUACUGCUAUACGCCCAGCACAAUGGAACAUUACCUGACGUAUAGUAAGCACUCAAUAAACAUUUGUUGAGUAAAUGGAUGAGCAAAUGCUUUUGGCUUGAGUUCAAAAAAAGUAAAAUUUGAUUUGGCAGAGUGAAAUAGUAGCUGUUUUAAUCUCUAGAAGGAGAGCAAGCAGAGCUCACUCCACACAAAAUUCAGUCUUGAGAUGCUCUUUCGGCACACCCUUCUCUUAUCCUCCCAGGACAGCUCUCCCUUGCUCCCUGUUCCUCUUUGCAUUGCUCUUGUUCCCUUACUCCAGUACAUUUCAUAUGUUCUAUGACUGCUUAAAACCCUUGCCUUGGAAUCUGGCCUGGGCCUCCUUAUUCAUGCUCCCAAAUUGCCUUUACUCUCCAGCUCCUUCCAUUUACAACCUCUUUAUCAACACUUCCUGCCCAAUAGGUCAUGUCAAAGUUGACAAACAACACCCAUACACUGUAUUGACAGUAUAGGAGUUUUUUGCAUUUUUAUGUUGUUUUUUGAAUAUCUCCUCUGCCAGGACCCCUACGCCCCUCCCCCAAACUACCACACCAUAGCAGGGCAGAGAUACCGUACUUGAAGAAAGGCCUUCAUUUAUCAUAAAAAUGAUACCGGGUAUCAUGCAGACGAGCAGUGAGGCUCUCCAAGGGUGAAAGAGACAGGACAAAUUGUGUCCAAGUAUCGAAGGAGAGAGGGUCACAACUCUUCCACUGCAGCAGCAUAGCCCACUGGGCAGCAACAAAACGGCCCCAACUCAAAUGCCAGCAAAGCAAAGGUGGGUCAUGUCAGACGGUAUAUCCAGGGAAAAUUCAUAUCUCUGCUUUAUAAUGGAUGUUCUCUUGUACUCAAAAGGCUUCAGUGAAUUAUGAAAGACAUUUAUCAGGCAUUAGAAAAAUUCCAGUGUUGGAAAAAAUUGACCAUCAUUCAUCAAAGGCUUGGAGUUACAAUGUAUUUUUCAUUAUGUGAUAUGGAAACACAUGUGCAAUGAGUGGAUGGGUUUCUGGUUCAACACCAAAACACCCACACUAUCUUACUAGUAAUUGGAUUCAGCCAAAUAUGGGAUAGUGCAUUCUGGGUCAUACAGCAUCUUAAACUAGAAGCAAAAAUCAUUCCAAGGAGUACUUAAACCCAACAAUGACAAUUGAGACAGCCAUAUUAUAUAACUUAACUUUUGGUAUCACAUUGUGAUGAAGACAGUAGGCUUGAACAUGACCAAGUCAAAUGCACCUAAUGUCCAACCUUAAGCAUGAUAGACUCCAUCUUAUACCUGUUCUCUCAAUCUAAAUGCACUGAGGCUUUCCACUCUUAAUCACUCUGCUUCUCCUUGGGCCUCAUCGGUCUUUAAUUGUAUCUAAUUGAUCUCAAUUUGUACCUUUAAGUUGGUAAAUCGCAAUCUAAUUUAGAAAUGCAAUGGUGCUCUACAUAUCACUGUCUCCUUUGAUCCUUCCAACAGUCUCAUGUGGGUAUCAAGAGAAAUGCUUUUAUUCUCAUCUUACAUAUGAAAAAGAAAACCAAGUCAAAGAACAGUUACUCCGAGGUUUAACCACUACUAAAUAUCUGAAUUGAUGGGGAGCCCAGGUUUCAUGACUCCCUGGUCCAAUGCUCCUCAAAUAUGGAAAAGAACUUCUUGGCGCUUAAGGCUGUGAGACCCUCACAAUGUGCCCCUCUGGGACAUCUUGUAAUUUCCUCUUCAGGAGCUCCUUAAGAAUAGCAUAAAGGCACAUCCAGCUGGAACCAUUUACACAAACUGUACAGCCUGGAGGCAGGGGAUGGACUUAAUGACCCUGGGCUAAUCAAUUCCUGCUUCCUAACACAAGGAGUGAUUGCAAAGUAAUGAUCCACCAGCCCCAGACAAACAUCACAGUUAUACAUUAAAUGAAGUUUCUGAUUCCUUAUUCCAUGAUAAAUGUAUGGUUAAUCCUGAUUCCUGAUCCAUCAUAAAUUGUUCUUCUCUUCGGGGUCACUAAGUGACAUUUGACUGUGAGUCGUGGAGGAAGUUGAGCUGGAGAGCUUCAGCUGGAGUGGGCGCAAUAUUGUAGGUAUUGUAAGUGUUCACAUUAAUCUGUUGCCAUCUGUCUUUAUUUUGCUAACCCACUCAAUCGGACACCAUAAAUGUUAACAGACAUAAAAAUGCUUUUCUUCAACAUUAGGCACAGAUAUCUCCUUGCUUCAUCUCCUGAAUCUCAGACAGCCCUUGAUUGUGGCAUUGUAGGCAAUGCCACAAUGAUACCCUAACUCCUUGAAGUGGCUCUGAACAAUGAUGCCAUAUAAGGCACUGUUCCAAAUCCACAACCAGUAUUUGGAUUCCAUUUUAAGGCUCCAGUGCUCCCAUACUUGGCAGCGGAUUUCUCCACUUCUUACACAGAAAGAUCCAGAAUGCAGCCUUUAGCUCAUCCCCUAAGAAUGUGGACUCAAGCUGGAGUAGUGAAGCCUAAGCCAACCACUUUCAUUCUUCCAAGCAAAUUGUGAUGGAGCCACUACACCCCUACCCCUGUCCCACACCAUCCUGCAGAUCAAAACCCAGAAGAGCCCCUGUAUUCUUACUACUAUCUAUUUUAUGGAAAAGCUAUUCAUUUGAUGUGUAGAAAGGUUCCAAACAAAAGCCUUUCCUUAUAUUUUCUAAGAAAUAUGCCAUCUCUCUGGGCCACUGAGGUUUUCUUUAAAGAUGCAAUGGAGUGCUACAUAUCAAUUUGCUUUAUCUUCAAAGAUAAAGAAAACUUCAAUGGCUCAGAGAUUACACUGGCAAUUUGGCACCCUGGGCUUACUUUGGCAAUUUUUGAAAAGACUGAAAAAUCUUAGAGUUUUUAAUAAUCUUAGAUAAUUUUGAAUAAUCCCAGAAUUUUGCUGAGACCCUUUAUCUUCAUUGUAGUGGAUGCUGUGGUGUGCUGCCCAUAUCCACCCUACUGAGACUAAGACUCAUUCCCUCGGCCACCAAAAGGGUUGACCAUACAUAGUGCUCAGCUGAGUCGCUCUCUAGGAGUUGCCUUAGAUAGCCACCUUACCUAGGAUGAUACCCCAUCCCCUAGGGCCACCCACAUCUCAUGAUGAGUCAAUGUGAUCCCCUAGCCCCAAUACAGGGCAACUCUGCAGAGCUAUCCCAGCUCCAGAGGUCCCCAAAGGAGCAGGGCCACAAGAUGCCUAGGCUUUUUGUAACUGCAUCACUAUUUGACUUCUCGCUCUCCUGAGUCCUGUUCCCUUCCUUCCCUGCAAAGCGAGGGCACUCACUACCCAGUGCUCUCCCAGAAACUUCUUCCUGAGGAACCUGACUGACAACAUGGGUAUAUUUUAAAGAUAAUGGAUUUCUAAACCAGAAUCAAAUACACAGCAGUGUGAGGACUUGUUUUCAUUCUUCUUUUCAAUAUGACUGAUAAUUUUAAGCUUUGGGCUAGAGGGAGCCUGCAUUCUAGAAAAUGGUUUUCAGAGGUGACAAGGGAAUUUUGUUGAGCCAGGUAAAGAAUAUAUAAACUUUGCUCUUUCAAACACACUUAAUUUUACAG